rnacentral:lncRNA from 1 species
AGAGUUGAUACAGAGAAAAUGAAGUUAGAAAUUCGUAGGAUGCACCGUCGUGGAAUCCGCCGUCCCGCCGCCGUGAUCGCCGCCGUCCCGCCGCCUGUCACAACCUAGUUCCGGUGAACCAUCCCCGCCUCCGCCGUACCGUCACCGCCUCCGCCGUCCCGUCACCGCCCGUGGUUCCGGUGAACCGUCCCCGCCUCCGCCGUACCGCCGCCCUGACCGCCGCCGUCCCGCCUCCGCCGCCCUGAUCGCCGCCGUCACAACCUAGGCACCGCACGUGGAUAUUGUUACAAAUUCGUAGAAAUUCGUCAAAAUUCGUAGAAAUUCGUCAAAAUUUGUAGAAAUUUGUAGAAAUUCAUACAAAUUCGUAGAAAUUUGUAGAAAUUCAUACAAAUUCGUAGAAAUUCGUACAAAUUUGUAGAAAUUCGUAGAAAUUCGUAGAAAUUCGUAGAAAUUCGUCAAAAUUCAUAGAAAUUUGUAUAAAUAUUCCGGACUUUGUAUGAUUCAUGUUAUUUUAUGAUUUCAUUAUAUACAUGUAUGAUUCCGGACUUUGUAGGACUUUGUACAAAUUUGUAGUAAGACGAUUUCUAUAACUGUCAUGUAUGAUUCCAUGUAUGUUUCCAUCAAUAGUUGAAAUGACAGACGAUGAGACCGCAAGGUAUA